rnacentral:lncRNA from 1 species
AUGAGCCCCACGGGACAAGCUUGGGAGCCGCUCCUGGGGGAAAACACAGCACAGCGAGAGCUGCAGUGCUCGGGGUCUGACCGCCAGGUGCUGGGGGGCACGGGUGAGCUCCUGGAAGAGGUGAUGGGCACCAGGAAGAAAGGUUUGUUGUCUGCAGGGUCAACGAUGCCGUGCUUCCAUCCCCGUGCUAGAAAUUUAAAUAUUUCAUUACCCAUUUGCAUCACAGGGACUUCCCUGCAAACCUGGCUUGAGGGCUGGCCCGCUCUCCUGCUUGACCCCAGGGCCUCGGCUUAUUUUAAUCCCGGCUCGAUAACGUGGUCAGUGCUGACCACCGGUUCCACCGCCUGCUCUCUGAGCCAGCAGCAGCAGCUCGCGCUCUCAUUCCCUACCGCUUUCGGGUUACGCAGCCGCUCCCCCAACCAAGGGGUUGGGACAGUCAUUAGUGUGCAACGAGGAGUGCACGCACCAGUAACCAUGGCAACUCCAAGAGCAUCAGCCUCCCGCUGGAAUCAGGAAUCAAGCCCACAGGGAAACGCUGAGGCACACAGACUGGAAUUCCUCCUCUCCCUGGCGAGGAAGGCAGGGCGGCAGCUCCCGCGCCUGCUGCGAGGCCGUGCAGUGCCGGGGACCUGUCCGCCUGCGUUUUCCCCAUCGCCAUGCCCCACGUCCUCCCGAUGCUCUCAGCACCUCCCCGGCAGUGAGCUGCCUGUGAAAGAAGGCUCCUUAAUUCGGGAGCGUUUCGUUGAAUUCAGACAUUUUGUUUUUUGUGGAAGUCGGCGUUGUGCCAAGCAGAGCCUUUCCUCCGAGCAGCCCGUGCCCUCUCCUGCGCCGCCGGGCUUGUAGCCGCUGCUCCGGAGCCAGCCCCGUGCCACCACAGUCCCCCUGCUUGUGAUGAAGAGGGAGAGGAGGCAGACGUGGGCUGGAUCCCACGUUCCCCUGUCGCAGAGAUCUGACUUGUACUGUCUGCCUUCCCCCGGAUUCGCAGAAGCCAGAGCCCCUGCAAAACUCGGGAGGCAGCAGAGCGUAAUUAAGGGAAAGGCGAGCUGCAGAUGACACUGGCUCUGGAGAGCAGGGCUUCCCCCUCCCUCCCCGUGCUUUCUCAUCGCGCAGGACGCCUGCUGGGGGCAUGAGUCACGUUGUUUCUGGUGAUGGAUGAAAUUAGCUCCGAUGUGAAACUGGAAAUAAAAAGCCAUUCACCAACA